UGGGAAUGCUAUUUAACAUGUUUGGUGGUGGAAUCACUAGAGUACAUAAGUUAAUCUCAGGAGCAGAACUUUAAACUCAAAAGUUGUAUUAGUAAUUUACAUGUAAAGUAAACAAUAACAUAACCAUAUUGUUAGUAUGUAAGACAUAAAUUCUGUGUAGACUUAUGAAAUUAUGUUAAAAGGUAACAUAUGCAGAUGGUGAAAGGAGAUGGACAUCAUUACCCUAGGUACAUGUAUAAUUGCAUGAAUGGUGUGUCUCUACACUGUGUACAACCAGAGAAUUGAAAUGUUUUUGCACCCCAUUUGUGUACGAUGAAUUGAAAUGCAUUCUGCUGUCAUAUACAACUAAGUAGAACAAAUAAGAAGAAAUUUUUUUAAAAAGGUAACAUAUACAGUUUAUCUCAACAUUUAGUUGGUGCUUACUAUAUUACCAGGUGCUGGGUCAAAUGUGAAGGAGUACAUUUUAAGUAAAACAAAGUCAUCAUCCUUGAAGCAUUUACAGAGUAUGUUACAGGAGGAGGAAAAAGCACUUCAGCCACUGGGAUAUGGGAAAUAUC
rnacentral:lncRNA from 1 species